rnacentral:rRNA from 1 species
UACAGAGGAGCCAAGCGUUGUCCGGAUUGACUGGGCGUAAAGCGCACGCAGGCGGAUGCGCGCGUGGGGUGUGAAAUCCCACGGCUCAACCGUGGAAGUGCAUUCGAAACUGCAGGGCUAGAGUCCUGGAGAGGAAGGUGGAAUGCUUGGUGUAGAGGUGAAAUUCGUAGAUAUCAAGCGGAACACCGGUGGCGAAGGCGGCCUUCUGGACAGUGACUGACGCUGAGACGCGAAAGCGUGGGGAGCAAACAGG